UUUGCAUAGGAAUUUGGUCAACCAUCUCUAAGCAUUACAUGUGCCUGUACUUGUCCACUGGAUUGAAGGCAGAGAAGGAAGGGAGGGGGGAAUGAUUCAAGGCCAAAAUGGCCACAUUUAGAAGAUACCUCAGAUGAUAACCAUUGUUAUGUGUGUGCAAUUUUAUUUAACAGUGCUGUGUACGUGGUGGACAAGUUAUAUGAAAUAUCUAGUCUUUCUAGAUAUUUGGAAGUGCUUGAUGUAUUUAAAAGUGGUAGUAGAAUAACACUUUGUAAAUAGCUUUUAAAAACUGAUGGGAAAUGCUGUUUGGAAGUGGAAUUGUUGAACCACCUGGGAGGUGGGAG
rnacentral:lncRNA from 1 species